GGGGUUAAUUUAAUAAGUAAUAAAUAUGAAAAAAAAUUUUAAUAUAAUAUAUUUAAUGGGGGUUAAAGUUUUUUUAUAGAAAAAAUUUUAAAAUUUAUAGUGAAAUAGUAUUGUGAAAGAAAUAUUGAAAAUAUUGAAAUAAAAAUUUAUUUAAAAGUAAAUUUUAUUUAUUGUAUCUUGUGUAUCAGAGUUUUUUAAAAAUAAAAAUUAGGUAAAUUUAUUUCGAAAUUUAAAGAGUUAAUUAAUUAAAAAAGUUAAUAUUGCAUAAUUAUUUUAAAUAGUUAAUUGGAAAUGAAAAGUUAAUCGUUUUGAAUGAUAUCUAAUUUUUUUAGAAAAAAGUUUAAUUUUAAAUAAAUUUUAAAAAUAAUAAUUAAUUAAUUAUUUUUAAAAUUUAAUUUUAUAUUUUAGGGGAUAAGCUUUAAAUUAGAAUUUUAUAAUAAAAGUAAAAAAAAUUGAAAUUUUUAAAAUUUAUAUUUUUUAUAAAUUAUAGUUUAUUAUCAAUAAUUUCAUUUAAUUAAAAUUUUAUUUUAAUUUAAAUUUUUAUAAAAAAAUAUUUUUUAAUUUAAUAAAAAUAGGUAUAAUGAUAAAAUUAGUAUAUAAUUUAUAAAUAAAAUAAAAAUUAUUUAAAUUAAUAAAAAGGAAUUCGGCAAAAAU
rnacentral:rRNA from 1 species